AUGCUAAUUAUGCAGGAAAAUAAAGAUUAUGCCGAGUCUUCAGAGAGAGAGAGAGAGAGAAUGCAGAUGAGGGUUUUAGGAGUGCAGAGAAGAAGAGAGUCUUGGUUAUUUUUCUGUUAUAUUCGGUUGGAGUGUGCGGAUUUUGAACUGGUUUUGGCUUGGUAUGCAACUGGUUUAUGGACAAGAUACUUGAGAUGCUAUGGAAAGUUUUGGAUGUCGUAUUUUGGACAGAAAAUGGAUUAA